UCAGAUGGACUCGGUCAGGAGAAGAGAACCACUCUACAGCUGGGAAUCUCAGAUCAAAAGCUUCCCAACCUCAAAGUCCAUCCAGUGAUGAUUUGCUCUGCAUAUCCUCGCGCAAACAGGGAGUUGUGGGGAGCUCAGGGAGAUGCAACAAGGAAGGAAAGCAAUGUGCCGGUGAUGUUUCUGAGGUCACUUGGCAAGUACAUGGCAGAGCCCUAGUUCAUUAGUCAUCGCCUUCCUGAAUCACAGGGCACCACCUUCACAAUGUGCCAUAAAGGCAUUCACCACAGGCUUCUUUACCUAAUGGGGCCAUUAUUGGGAACAUGAUGGGCAGGACCAAUUGGAACAAAAAGACCUGAUGUUCACAGGCCUGUAGGUACCAUAGGAACCAUCCAGUCCAAGGACUUCACCUUCUAUUCCAUAGAAUCCUCAGAGAUGCAGACAGGGGUGGAGAGUUGGGGAGAGGAAGGGUGCCUGUGG
rnacentral:lncRNA from 1 species